CUAGUUCCCCUUCCUCAGGAGAUCCUCUCCUCCCUCCUGGUCCCUUACUGGCUACUAAACUUCUGUGGAUAGUCUAACUGAGACACACACACCUAAAUCCUAAAAGCUGAAUAAUAUUCCAUCAUGUAAAUGUGCCACAUUUCCAUUAUCCAUCAUCAGCUGACAGACAUCUAGGCUGUUUCUAAUUUCUGGCUGCUCUGAAUAAAGCAGUAACGAACAUG